UACGGGGGGAGCAAGCGUUGGUCGGAUUUACUGGGCGUAAAGGGCGCGUAGGCGGUCGUGACAAGUCACUUGUGAAAUCUCCGGGCUUAACUCGGAACGGUCAAGUGAUACUGUCGGACUAGAGUGCAGAAGGGGCAACUGGAAUUCUCGGUGUAGCGGUGAAAUGCGUAGAUAUCGAGAGGAACACCUGCGGCGAAGGCGGGUUGCUGGGCUGACACUGACGCUGAUGCGCGAAAGCUAGGUGAGCGAACGGG
rnacentral:rRNA from 1 species